CCUACGGGUGGCAGCAGUGGGGAAUAUUGCUCAAUGGGGGAAACCCUGAAGCAGCGACGCCGCGUGAAGGAUGAAGGUUUUCGGAAUGUAAAGCUCUUUUAGUAGAGAAGAAAAUGACGGUACCUGACUAAGAAGCACCGGCUAACUCCGUGCCAGCAGCCGCGGUAAUACGGAGGGGGCAAGCGUUAUUCGGAAUCACUGGGCGUAAAGAGAGCGUAGGCGGGAUAGCAAGUCAGGAGUGAAAUGCUGGGGCUUAACCCCAGAACUGCAUUUGAAACUGUGAGUCUAGAGUGGAGGAGAGGUAGGUGGAAUGCGUAGUGUAGCGGUAAAAUGCGUAGAGAUUAAGAGGAACACCCAUUGCGAAGGCGGCAUACUGGA
rnacentral:rRNA from 1 species